rnacentral:rRNA from 1 species
GUAGGGAAUUUUGCGCAAUGGGGGAAACCCUGACGCAGCAACGCCGCGUGAUUGAAGAAGCCCUUCGGGGUGUAAAGAUCUGUCAGUGGGGACGAAACUUGACGGUACCCACAGAGGAAGCAUCGGCUAACUCCGUGCCAGCAGCCGCGGUAAUACGGGGGAUGCAAGCGUUGUCCGGAAUCAUUGGGCGUAAAGAGUUCGUAGGUGGCAUAUUAAGUCUGGUGUUAAAUGCAGUGGCUCAACCUCUGUUCGGCACUGGAUACUGGUAAGCUUGAAUGCGGUAGAGGUAAAGGGAAUUCCUGGUGUAGCGGUGAAAUGCGUAGAUAUCAGGAGGAACAUCGGUGGCGUAAGCGCUUUACUGGGCCGUAAUUGACACUGAGGAACGAAAGCCAGGGUAGCAAAUGGG